AGAAACGGCUUGUUGCCAGUUCAUUACAGAUCCUGCCGAGACAUCUUUGGCCCUAUGUUGCUACAUGAGAAGAUAAUGUCUUUCUCCAGAGAUUGAACUUGAAUCCUGUUUUCACUUACCUGUCUGUUCCUGACUCCACAGUGAUGCCGUUGCCAUUUCUGUCCUGCCCACUUACCUGUGGGUCUCUGAUUCUCCAUCUUCACUUCAGAACAGCUCAACCUACCUUGUGCUCCUGGGUUUCCAGCUUUACCGAGCACUCUCCUGCCUGCCCAACUCACUUGGGUGCCUCUGGGUCUCCAGCAACAUCAACAGGCACAACUACCUCACCUGGUCCUCCCAACUCUGCAGCCAGUUUAGCCUGCUCUCCUGUCUGACUCAGCUAGCUACCCAUGGGGUGGCACUCACCUGCCAGCUUCAAACACUAGUCCUAUGUAUAGAACCUGUCCAGACUGGGAGAUCCCUCACCUGCCCAGCAUGUUUUCAAUCUUCCUGGGGUCCCAAUUCUCUCAUCUAGUCCUUUGCCUAAAUAUAAAUUACUCUAAUAAAUCGUCUGUUGUCCAGACUUCAA